rnacentral:lncRNA from 1 species
GCCUGCUGCUGCCAUUCAGGCGUGUCUCUCUCUCUCUCUCUCUUUCAUGCCGCUCUCUCCACCCCAUCUUGGGACGGCCAGCUCUAAGAAUUCCUGCUACGACACUGAAUUCAACCAGGAGGUGAUGCCACACUCAAUCAGAAACUAUGCUACUGCUGAAGAGGUAUAUUGAGCCCUGCCUGGUUAACCUCCAGUGAGGUUAUUAGAGAAUUGGGAGAGGCUCAAAUCAGCAUCCUGCACCUAGUUAUCAAACCAUUGUGAAGUCUUGAUUCCUGGAUGGCCAGAAAACUUGUCAUUGGUCAAGAGCAACAUUAAGAUCUGCCUGUUACUCAUACUGAUGCUUCCUGCCCAGCAAGUUCAUCAGAGGGCGAGGAUGAAUUACGGUUGCCAUGAAUGUCCUUGUGAGGCAGUUGGGAAGCCUUGGCUGGAUUGUGAAGGAUAUUUGAAAAGUAUUUUAGAGUCCACCAGAUCAUCCAUGUGAGUGACCAUGCAGCAAAAGAAGGAGGGUCCUCUCAGUGAUUAAGAUAAUCAGCAACUGCUGUGAUGAGAUGCUGCCUUUAAUGCUGCUGCAUGUGGUCAAACCUCCACUCCCAGUCUACCCAGACCAGGACUUGGCUUCCAGGAUCCAGGGGUGUCUGUGUGAAAUGAUCAGCCUGGGCCCCCAAGCAGGUCACUCCCAGCACAGAGAUGUCAUUGAUUGUACCACCGUCAUCAGGCUGUCUUCCGCCCUCAGGGAAAAGUAGCAUGUCUU